CAGGCGUCCGUUGGGACCCUCUGCAGUCUCCAGCUCUCCAGAGGGCGCCUGCGGCUACUCCUAUUUGCCGGUGCCGGAUUCAGAGCGGGCGACUUUGAGCCCCUUCUCAAAGUGCGCUGCGGUCUGGGAAAGAGAUCUUUUCGCCUGCAGUUUCAGCAAAGAAGCACUCAGGGAGCGGAAAGUAGGUCGCAGUGGAACCUAGAAAGCUGUCCCAAGAGAGCUCGCAGUG
rnacentral:lncRNA from 1 species